CCCUUAGAUGUUCUGGGCCGCACGCGCGCUACACUGAUGAAUGCAACGAGCUCUACCCUUGACCGAAAGGCCCGGGUAAACUUGUGAAACUUCAUCGUGAUGGGGAUAGAUUAUUGCAAUUAUUAAUCUUCAACGAGGAAUUCCUAGUAAGCGCGAGUCAUCAGCUCGCGUUGAUUACGUCCCUGCCCUUUGUACACACCGCCCGUCGCUCCUACCGAUUGAAUGGUCCGGUGAAAUCUUCGGAUUGCUGACCAAGAUCCAGCAAUGGAGCUUGGUUGCGAGAAGUUGGUUAAACCUUAUUAUUUAGAGGAAGGAGAAGUCGUAACA
rnacentral:rRNA from 1 species